rnacentral:rRNA from 1 species
UACAGAGGUGGCAAGCGUUGUUCGGAAUUACUGGGCGUAAAGGGCGCGUAGGCGGUCUUGUAAGUCCUGUGUGAAAUCCCUCGGCUCAACUGAGGAACUGCACGGGAUACUGCGAGACUUGAGUUCGGGAGAGGGAAGCGGAAUUCCGGGUGUAGCGGUGAAAUGCGUAGAUAUCCGGAGGAACACCGGAGGCGAAGGCGGCUUCCUGGACCGAUUACUGACGCUGAGGCGCGAAAGCUAGGGGAGCAAACGGG